CGCGUGGGAACGUACCCUUUCCUACGGAAUAGCCUUUGGAAACGAAGAGUAAUACCGUAUACGCCCUUGGGGGGAAAGAUUUAUCGGAGAAGGAUCGGCCCGCGUUAGAUUAGAUAGUUGGUGGGGUAACGGCCUACCAAGUCUACGAUCUAUAGCUGGUUUUAGAGGAUGAUCAGCAACACUGGGACUGAGACACGGCCCAGACUCCUACGGGAGGCAGCAGUGGGGAAUAUUGCACAAUGGGGGAAACCCUGAUGCAGCCAUGCCGCGUGUGUGAAAGAAGGCCCUCCGGUUGUAAAG
rnacentral:rRNA from 1 species